AGAUGAUUUUCGGGAGAGACCAAUUUUGGCGCCGAAGGAAUAAGUCAUAGGAAAUUGCUUUAUGAUGAAGCUCUCAGGCAAAAGGACCGAUAAUCGUAC
rnacentral:ncRNA from 2 species